AAGCUAUGAAGUAAUCGCGCUCUUGUGAUGGCUAGGGUCUAUCACGUGCUUCUGAUCUAUUGAUUAGAAAAUUGCGCUUCUGAGCUC
rnacentral:snoRNA from 1 species